CGGGAGGCGGCGACGGCGACGGGCGGCGAGAGCGAGCAGCUGAGAGCGGCCAGGGCGCAGAGCAGCGCGGGCAGCCCCAUGGCCGUCGGUUCGCGGCGGUCUGUCUGUCCCGGCCGCGCUGGGAAAGCGAGUGAGGACCGGGCGGAGCCGGACCGCCCCUCCGCCGCUGCUGGGAGAGGCGGGGGCGCCUUCCUGCCGUGCGGGGGCGGGACGGGCCCCGGUUGGAGGGCUGAGCGGCGCCGGGUCCGCCGUCGGGCGGGGUACAGGAAUUUCAACGGGAGGAAGCCUCUGUUCAGAACUGGAUCUGUUACAGGACAUUGUGACGUUACUGCAGAAACACUGAUACUUGACUGAGAAUAGCAAGGAUGGGAAGUCAACUCUUAGCAGCGAGUACUGAUGCCCUGUCAGAUCCAGCGCUAAUCUCAUCUUGCUCUGCAGUGCGCUUCCCACUGUGGCCGUACUGCUGGCCGGCCUG
rnacentral:lncRNA from 1 species